AUCAAAUUGAGCAGCAACAGUGGCGUUACCUUUCAGAAAAGCUAUCAUAAGCUUGAUUUUUUAGACAAUCUUUUUACUGUAAUUUUCCUAGGAGAUAGAUGUAAGUAAGAUUAAUGCUGGUCCACACUAGAUUAGAGUAUUUAUGGUUGCUCCAUACAACCUACAGAGGAGCACAUGAUCCCCCCAGCUAAUGCUAUGAAAACCCAAAGCAAGAAC
rnacentral:lncRNA from 1 species